rnacentral:rRNA from 1 species
GACGAACGCUGGCGGCGUGCUUAACACAUGCAAGUCGAACGGAAAGGCCCUGCUUUUGUGGGGUGCUCGAGUGGCGAACGGGUGAGUAACACGUGAGUAACCUGCCCUUGACUUUGGGAUAACUUCAGGAAACUGGGGCUAAUACCGGAUAGGAGCUCCUGCUGCAUGGUGGGGGUUGGAAAGUUUCGGCGGUUGGGGAUGGACUGGCGGCUUAUCAGCUUGUUGGUGGGGUAGUGGCUUACCAAGGCUUUGACGGGUAGCCGGCCUGAGAGGGUGACCGGCCACAUUGGGACUGAGAUACGGCCCAGACUCCUACGGGAGGCAGCAGUGGGGAAUAUUGCACAAUGGGCGGAAGCCUGAUGCAGCAACGCCGCGUGCGGGAUGACGGCCUUCGGGUUGUAAACCGCUGUCGCCUGUGACGAAGCGUGAGUGACGGUAAUGGGUAAAGAAGCACCGGCUAACUACGUG